rnacentral:rRNA from 1 species
AAUGAACGUUGGCGGCGUGGAUUAGGCAUGCAAGUCGAGCGGGUAUAGCAAUAUAUCAGCGGCGAAAGGGAGAGUAACGCGUAGCUACGUACCCCGGAGUCCAGAAUAGCCAGCCGAAAGGCUGGGUAAUGCUGGAUGAUGUCUCCGGACUAAAGGUGUGAUUCCGCUUUGGGAGCGGGCUGCGUUGUACUAGCUUGUUGGUAGGGUAAUGGCCUACCAAGGCGAUGAUGCAUACCGGGCGUGAGAGCGUGGCCCGGCUCACUGGGACUGAGACACUGCCCAGACACCUACGGGUGGCUGCAGUCGAGAAUCUUCGGCAAUGAGCGCAAGCUUGACCGAGCGACGCCGCGUGCGGGAUGAAGGCCUUCGGGUUGUAAACCGCGAAAGUAGGGAGGAAAUCGCUAGGGGUUCUCCCCUAGUGUUGACCUAUCUUCAGUAAGGACGGGCUAAGUUCGUGCCAGCAGCCGCCGUAACAC